ensembl:lncRNA
AUGCCCAGUCUGAUUAAUUCUCGGGAUUCCACCACACACACACUUAAACACCUGACAGGCACUGACAGGCAGCCAGUCUUCUCCACACCCUUUCCUGUUCUCCUGCGCGCUGAAAUGUGUUCAUUCAAUGGCUUGAAUAUCAUGACUUGGCCACAGACAGACAUACGUAUCGGGGAAACUGUUAAAGCAGGAGGUGGAGGUUGGAAAAGAGAAAAGCAGUAUGUGAAUGAUUCAAAGCACUGGAGUGACAGUGGCUGCAAUUUUUUUUUUCUGACUGGGAAAAAUCAAUACGACUUAACAGGCCAGGACAGAAUGACCCACAUCCCGAAAAUGGCCUGGCUUUCACCCACAUUCUGGCCAGUGUAUGUGUGUGUCUGUGUGAAUGCAAAGAGGGAGGGAGGGUGUUAACAUAUGCCCUAUCCUGCCAUACUCUUACCGCCUGAUUUCACAAUGACUGAUUCCAAGUGACGCAAAGAUCAUAAAAGAGCAAAGCUAUCUGUCAGCCUCCAUUAAAAUGGACAAACAGACAUAGACAAAGAGAAACAGCCUCUAACAUUACCUCUGAUUAGCAGGCUCAGGCCUGGACUCACCUGAACGCUGCAUCUGUAGGAGAGGUUGAAACCUUGGAUUUAACUAAUAAGCUUGAGCUUGUUUGAAGGUAUCUUUAGUAUUAGCUAUCUUAUCGCUGAUUAGGCAAACGGAGGUGGAAUCAGGGUGUUGGAAAAGUAACAGCGGUUCUCUUCACAGCAGCUGUGAGGGUUCUCACAUUAAACGUUUGCAUGAAAGGCUACUCAGGGUCACAGAAGAACUCCACUCCUGGGAAUGGGUCAUGUUUUGGGGGCUUGUAACCCUCCACAGGGGUCAGAGAGGGUUUUGCUCAGCCUUGAUAAACAGAAACCUAAGAAAUCUUAAUUAGUCAUGUGUGUUAUUUUUUUAGAUUCCCGAAUGCAAUUUUAUGAAAAUUCUAAGAUCAACAAAAGAGUGACUCAAAGGAAGCUUUAUUGCACUGUUCUGUAUGGAAACAGUUCAUAGGUUGUUGUAUUUAAGUUAUUGUUAAUGGUAGUAAAAAUAAAAGAGUACAGUCUCGUUGUAUUAUGUCUGUCACACAAACACCAGCCAAGGACCUCAGUGUGGUCAGUCAAUAGAGUAGUCUGUCACCACAUACACGCUUUUGAUGAGAGGAAACAACAUUCAGAUCAAUACAACACUCACUGCUCUAUCACUCCAUACAUCCCUCUGACAGCAGAACUGUAAAAAUAAACUACAUUUAUAUAUUAUCUGAAGAAAAUGUGACUGCAGCUCUCCAGUGCAAAACUCCACUGCUAGAGUAUUGAGGGUACUUUUUUAGCACAUUGCAUAGGUGUUUUAAGUGGUUUUUAAUUUGUGUCUGUGUGUGUGGUUGUUCUGGGUGGUUAUCCAUGUUGUUAUACAUUGCUAGUGCAUUUCAAGGGUGUUUUAGGUGGUUGCUUACUGACCCAAGUCAAAAGUGUACAACCAGGAGUAAGUUAACUGGAUAUUAAACAUCCCAUCAUGAUUUCACUUGCUAUUUUUAUCCAGCUUUUUGUGUGGAUUUUAAUUAAUGUAUUAAAUUAUUUUACAAUUAAAAACCAAUGGAACUGACCAUUUUGAUAAUUGUGCU